CGGCGUGGGGGGAGCCGGUCGUGGAGCCAUCAGGGACCUUCUUCCUCCGCAAUAAGAAGCCCCGGACAGCUGGGUCCCCGGAGGGUCCCACCGAUGCCACCCUGAGUUACUCAUCGCUGCUCUUCCCCUCUGGCUGCUCGUCGGGGACCGGGGCCAGGUUGCGAGGGGACACCGUGGUCUACAGUGUCCUCAAGAGGAGCCAGGGGGGUGCCAAGGCCACUGAGGGGCCCGACUACGAGAACGUCCAUCCCGGCCAGAGCGAUGGGGACGGGAACCGGGAAGGGACCCUGCUCUACGCUGCCCUGGCCCUGUCCUCGCCGGGGACGCCACAGGGACGCUGCGUGGACACCAGGGAGGCCGAG